rnacentral:misc_RNA from 1 species
AACUUUUGGCAAUGGAUCACUUGGUUCUGGCAUCGAUGAAGAACGCAGCGAAAUGCGAUAAGUAAUGCGAAUUGCAGAAUUCAGCGAGUCAUUGAAUUUUUGAACGCACAUUGCGCCCUGUGGUAUUCCGCAGGGCAUGCCUGUUCGAGCGUCAGUACAACCCUCAAGCUUAGCUUGGUCUUGAGCCCCGCCAGUAACUCGGCAGGCUUUAAAAUUAGUGGCGGCGCCAUUGGGCUCUUAGCGUAGUAAUAUUUCUCGCUAUUGAGACCCUGUGGUAUGCUGGCCAGCAACCCCAACUUUCUAAGUUUGACCUCGGAUCAGGUAGGGAUACCCGCUGAACUUAAGCAUAUCAAUAAGCGGAGGCU